rnacentral:rRNA from 1 species
GAGUGAACGCUGGCGGUAGGCCUAACACAUGCAAGUCGAACGGCAGCACAGGAGAGCUUGCUCUCUAGGUGGCGAGUGGCGGACGGGUGAGGAAUACAUCGGAAUCUGCCCAGUCGUGGGGGAUAACGUAGGGAAACUUACGCUAAUACCGCAUACGACCUUCGGGUGAAAGAGGGGGAUCGCAAGACCUCUCGCGAUUGGAUGAGCCGAUGUCGGAUUAGCUAGUUAGCGGGGUAAUGGCCCACCAAGGCGACGAUCCGUAGCUGGUCUGAGAGGAUGAUCAGCCACACUGGAACUGAGACACGGUCCAGACUCCUACGGGAGGCAGCAGUGGGGAAUAUUGGACAAUGGGCGCAAGCCUGAUCCAGCCAUACCGCGUGGGUGAAGAAGGCCUUCGGGUUGUAAAGCCCUUUUGUUGGGAAAGAAAUCUUUCAGGCUAAUACCCUGGGAGGAUGACGGUACCCAAAGAAUAAGCACCGGCUAACUUCGUG